ACUCUCUAACAUUAGUGUACAGGCCUCACUCUUUCAUGUUUCUCUCUCUCAACUCUCAGCUCACCUCUCAGAUCGAUAUCUCUCUCGACUCUAUCUCAUGGUCUCUCUGCUACCGAUUCUUCACUCCCUUUGCUAUCACCGAUCCAACUCUCUCUAUCAUCAUCGUUUUGUUUUGAAUUCAGUAACAACAAACAUACAAACCUUCAAUGUUACCCUUUAUCCCAAACAAACCCUAAGCCCCAAUUCGUUAUUGAUUUUCGGUGAUUUCAAGAGUAUAUUUACAAGUGAAUCAAAGUUGAUCUUCCUCAGUGAAACAUUUGAAGUGGAUUGGGGUUUCUAAUGAGGACUGAGUUUAUGAGGGAUUGAGAGAUUCUGCAGAUUUUUCAGAUUUAGUCAAUGAACACUAUAUUUGGAGGGUGGUUUUAGGGGUUGGCAGCAAUUUUGAUCUGAAACUCUAGAGUCGCAUCCAUGGCUUCAAAGCGCAUCCUGAAGGAGCUCAAGGAUUUGCAGAAAAAUCAAUGGCCGUGUUGAAUGUCUUCAUUAACUUCAUACAAUAAGAUGGACAAACCAAUGGCUGUGUUAAAUGUCUUCAAAUAAUAAGAUGGACAGAUCAAUGGUUGUGUUGAAUGUCUUCAUUAACUUCAUUCAGGU